UAAUGAUGUUUUAUAUUAAAGGAUAUUUGGCCCAGUCUGAUCAUUAAGGGGAGAUUUGUCACCCCCUCAUGGACGUAGAAGAUACUACGAGUCUAUGUAAAUGAUUCCAGCCCACACAGCUCCACCCUGAUGCUCCUGCAGCCAGUCCUCACGCACACAGAGCCGCCUCACUGGCCUGCCAGUUGCCGUGGUAACUUGACAUGUCUCCAUUUGCUGUGAUCAAUGGAAAUGUUGCCGUCGCAGGGGAUUGGAGGGCUGCCAGCUCUCUCGGAGUGCUGCGUAACUCUCUCUCCCUCUCGCUCCGAGACGGGGAAGACACAAAGGAAGAAAUGGAGGCAGAGGGAAGCGGUGGGGUGGAGGAGCACGAAGCAUCCAUUACGGACAACCAUCUACAGAGAUCCAGGAGCAGCUCAGAGCACCGUGAAGAGAGAGCUGACGCACACAGUAUUCAACCUGCAGUGACAGCUGCACAUGUACAUUAUAACAGAUUG